rnacentral:sRNA from 2 species
AGAGUAAGUCAGCCUAAUCUAGUGUAUUACAGUAUGUGACACUAGAGCGGAGGAACCAAUUUUAUGGGGCGUAUCUCCUACAGGAGAGGGGCAUCUCUCAGCCCUAGCCCGUCAGCUAACUUCGUAGGCAAUGAGAGGAGACUGA